rnacentral:rRNA from 1 species
UACGUAGGGUGCGAGCGUUGUCCGGAAUUACUGGGCGUAAAGAGCUCGUAGGUGGUUUGUCGCGUUGUUCGUGAAAACCGGGGGCUUAACCCUCGGCGUGCGGGCGAUACGGGCAGACUGGAGUACUGCAGGGGAGGACUGGAACUCCUGGUGUAGCGGUGGAAUGCGCAGAUAUCAGGAGGAACACCGGUGGCGAAGGCGGGUCUCUGGGCAGUAACUGACGCUGAGGAGCGAAAGCGUGGGGAGCGAACAGG